GGGCCGGGCCGGGCCGGGACGCGCGUCAUCCGCGUCAUCCGAGCGUCAUCCGCCGCUGCAGCGGCGUCCUCGCGUCAGCGCCGCUGCGCCGGCGCGCGGACGUCCACGGCUGCGUGGUACGUGAGUUUGCGUGCGCGCGCCUACGUGCGCGCCUCCGCUCGGCUCACUGGGAGAGCCAAAGGAGGAGCCCGAGGCUCCCGGGGAUGUACGCGUGCGCGGAACUACCCAGGUGUGCUCUGGGCCAGAAGAGGAAGGGGGAUCCACCGUCCUCUACCCCGCCCCCAGGGAUGUUACGACAAUAUGCCCCUGCGCCUGCGCCAAAAGACUCACGCUUGCUUUGGGAAAGGAGAGGGAAAGGGAAAGGGAAGGAAGGAAGGAAGAAGAGAUGGGAAGAAGCUGGGCCUGAGGCUUCUGGAAAGAGGCAAAAAGGGAGAAACAAGAAAAGGAAGGCUGGCAAGGAACGGGAUAGAGAGGGGGGAAAGAAUCAGGGAAUAAAUUCACGAGUUCAUCAAAAGGCUACUGGAAAGACCCUGCCCUCAAGGACCUGGGGCCACGUGUGCUUCUCAGUUUCGGUCGGUUAACCAAGCAAAUCCAGCAUUAACUCCGUUUUGUAGGGAAGAACCAAGUGAUGGCCGGAUUCCAAGCCUGCUCUCCACCUCAAAUGCAGUUUUCCGCUAGUGGAGGGUGGGAUCAGAGGAGGAAGGGAGGAGAAGGAUGACUGUUGAUAUCAGUCAGAGCCUUUCACUCUGCUUUCUGAUCCAUGACUGGAAGCAUUGGAGACCCAUUCCAGCCCAGUGCUGGCGCUCAGCCUGUUUUCUGCCUCUCCCAAAGGGUAGCUCAGGACUCCCUUUUGGCCUGAUGAGAGGAAAUGAAAGAUGAAACACCUAACAGUCGUAGAAUUGGGAGGAUUCUACAGGCCCUACAGCCAGGCCCCAAUUAGUGUGAACAAUGAACCCCUUUGAAGAAGUCACCUGUUUUCAAAUUUACACUAAAUGUGAUAAUUAUGGUAAAUGUUUCCUUUGGAAACAUGAAGUCAAAUUUGAAUAAUGGGACCGCUUAGGGGGACUUUAUAGUAAUUUAUAAUAAGCAGAAGCUGACUUACUCAAGGUUCUCAGGGCAAACCUUGAGCUGUAAGCACUGCUCCACACUACCUACCCUACCUAUCUCUACGCUAAGGAGAAUUAAAAAUUAGGUUGAGCCCCCUGCCUGCUGUCUUUUCAUUCUUGUCUGGCUAUAGCGGGGCUCCGCUUAAUAUACACUAGAGAAGCCUCAGCUGGUGGGGGAAGCUUAGCUAAUUCUACUAUGUAAAUCAUAGUAUCAUGGACAGAGCUGGGAUACAGAUAGGAUUUAUGGAUAGGAAAACUGAGGCCCAGAAAGGAUUUACACAGUGUCCAUCACACCAACAGCUCUUUCUUCGUCUGGAUAUUUUCUGGUCUUUGUCUCACUCCUCCUUCUGACAUGGGAGACACAGAUGGAAAGAGCCCUGAUUCCAAUCCUGCCUCAUGUUUAACGCUGCUGUGACCUGGAGCAAGUCACCACCUCUCCCGGCUUCAGCGUCUUCUUUAAAAUGAAAAGUUUGGCUAGGUGGCUUCUGAGAUCCUCCUCACACUUUUGGAUCUGCCACCCUACGACUCCAUGGCCUCAAGCUCCACUUCCUGCUCCCCCAUUAGUGUAAGAGCCUGGAGGGCACAGCCCAGCAUCCUAGUUAUCUUUGCAGUGGAAGGUGCUAGCACCUUGCUGCCUGCACACAGCAGGUGCUUGGUAAAUGUCUGUUAAUGGAUGAAUUUAGUAAAUAGCAAAGCCAGGUCUCUGAAUUUCCAAACUGGUUGUCUUCCAACUACAGAGCUAUCUAGGCAUUGCUUGGGGGUAGUGUAAAGCAAUUCAAUCUAGUCAAUCAAUCACCAUUCAUUUAACACCUUCCCUAUGCCAGCCACUCUAAGCUAGAGGAGAUACAAAAAGAGGAAAAAGAAAGCCCCCUGCCCUCAGGGAGCUCACAAUCUAGUGAGAUAAACAACUAUUAAAUGCCUACUAUGCUGCCAAGUUCAAGCCACUUGAUGAUACAAAUUUUAAAAGUCUUUCCCCUUAAAGAGUUUACACCAUCCUUGGGGUUAGGAGGAUAAUUUGUAACAAAAUAGUGAAAGAUUAAAGACAACAUAGAUUCCUGAACAGCACUGAGGGGAGGGGACCGAGGCUCAGCAAAGGUCUGCUGUCAAAAACAGGCCCCUGAGCUGAUCCUGCAAAGAGGCCAAGUUGGGGGGGCAGCUAGGUGGUACAGCGGAUGGAGUUCUGGCCUUGGAGUCAGGAGGACCUGAGUUCAAAUAUGGCCUCAGAUGCUUGACACUUGGCGGAGAAGAAGACAACAAAGUCAAAGCUCCUACAUCCAAAGCCUCCUAGAAAAAUAUAAAUCAGUCCCAGGCCUUGGAAGAGCUCAAAAAGGAUUCUGAGAAGCAAGUAAGAAAAGUAGAGGAAAAACUGGGAAGAGAAAUGAGAGUGGCGCAAGAAAAUCAUAAAAAACAAAUCAACAGCUUGCUAAAGGAGACCCCAAAAAAAUACUGAAGAAAAUAACACCUUAAAAAAUAGCCUAACCCAAAUGGCAAAAGAGGUCCAAAAAGCCAAUGAGAAGAAUGCCCCAAAAAGCAAAACUGGACAAAUGGAAAAGGAAUUACAAAAGGUUACUGAAGAAAAUACUUCCUUAAACAUUAGAAUAGAGCAAUUGGAAGCUAGUGACUUUAUAAGAAAUCAAGACACAGACGCUUGACAGCUGUGUGAUUCUGGGCAAGUCACUUAACCCUGAUUGCCUCACCAAAAAAAAAAAAAAAAAAGAGGCCAAGGUGAAUGGGGUGGGGGGGGAGGAAGUGAGGAGAUACAGCCUCCUGGGCCUGCAUAGGCAUGAACAUUGGAGAGGGAAUGUUGAGUUCAGUCAACAGCACAAGUCUCAGUUUGACCUGACGGUAAGUGUGUGAACAAGAGUAAUAUGAGAUGAUGUCCAAAAGACAUCGAGGCCACGUUGGUGAAUGCCAGGAUGAAGGUUUUGUAUUUUAUCCUGGAGAUAAUGGGAAGCCACUGAUGAUUUUUGAUUGGAGGAUGUUGGUGGUAUGGUCAAAUCUGUGAUGGGAAUAUUAACUUAGCUGCCAUUUUGGAGGAUGGAAAGGGUGGAGAUAGAAAGGCAGGUGACCCAUGAGGUGGUUGUAAUCUUCCCAAUGAGAAAUGCUAAGGGCCUGAACUGUCUAGUGGUGAUGGGAAUGAUGGGGUGAGAUGUUGAGGAAAGAGGACUGACCAGACUUUACAACUGAUUGGAUAAAGAAGUGAGUUGAGUCAAGGAGGACUCCAAGGUGGCACCCCUGGGUGAUUGGGAGGAUGGAAAGGGGAGGAGAUGGGGGCUUCUAGGAAAUACAAUCGUUCUAUUUUGGAUGUGUCACAAAUGAGAUGCUGAUGAGACAGCAGGUGUAGAUGUGUAUCAGGCAGACUGCAGUUAAGAAGACAGCUUAGGGCUGGGUAUAUAAAUUUGGGAUUCCUCUGACUAAAGAUUUCAGCAGAACUCUCCAGAAGCCCAGGGAAGAGGCUGAUUGGUAUAAGUGACUAGAGAGCCUGUCUUCAAGUCAGGAAGACCUAAGUUCAAAUUCUACCUCCGAUAGAUAUUGACUGUGGGACCGUAGGCCAGUCACUUAACCUCUGAGUGCCUCUUGGCAACUCUAUUAGUUGUGGAGAAGGUGCCACCCUAAAUGCGUGGACUAAGUUGCUUCAUGUAGACAUUCCCUACCUGCAGAGAUGAAACCAUUGUCCUUUCCCUUUGGGAGCUGAUGGGCUUUUAAGGAGAAUGUUGAGAGAAUAGGAAUCCCAGGACAGAGCCUUAUGGGGACAGAGCCAGAAGAUCGGCCUUCAAAGGAGAAGGAAGAGCAUGUUGUUUCUUGUUGUGCCCUGUUAGAUUGUAAGCUCCUAGGGCAGGGAUUGUCUUUUGCCUUUUUUUGUAUCCUGAGGGCUUAGCAUAGUGCACAUAGCAGGCACUUAAUAAAUGUUUAUCGAUUGAUAAUUUUGUGGUUAGA
rnacentral:lncRNA from 1 species